rnacentral:misc_RNA from 1 species
AACGCAUAUUGCACUCUCUGGUAUUCCGGGGAGUAUGCCUGUUUCAGAAUCACUAAUUACCCUCAUUUCUAUAUGGAGUUGGACCCUCUUGCCUUUCAUUUUUGAAAAGGCUGGUCUAAAAGGAUUGUUCGCAACCAAAGGAAUUAUAAAGCGUGAUGGUUGACCUUUUCGAAGGUUGUCUUCGCUGAAUAUCUCUUUUUUGCGAUGUAUCAGAUAGGUUUAUCUGCAACGAUGUAGAUAAACGCGUCCACAUCUUGAUCUGAAAUCAGGUAGGAUUACCCGCUGAACUUAA